UACGGAGGAUGCAAGCGUUAUCCGGAAUGAUUGGGCGUAAAGCGUCCGCAGGCGGCUAUGUAAGUCUGCUGUUAAAGAGUGAGGCUCAACCUCAUAAGAGCAGUGGAAACUACAUGGCUAGAGUGCGUUCGGGGCAGAGGGAAUUCCUGGUGUAGCGGUGAAAUGCGUAGAUAUCAGGAAGAACACCGGUGGCGAAAGCGCUCUGCUAGGCCGCAACUGACACUGAGGGACGAAAGCUAGGGGAGCGAAUGGG
rnacentral:rRNA from 1 species